rnacentral:rRNA from 1 species
CCUACGGGUGGCAGCAGUGGGGGAUAUUGCACAAUGGGGGAAACCCUGAUGCAGCGACGCCGCGUGUGGGAAGACGGUCUUCUGGAUUGUAAACCACUGUCCCCAGGGACGAAAAUGACGGUACCUGGGGAGGAAGCUCCGGCUAACUACGUGCCAGCAGCCGCGGUAAUACGUAGGGAGCAAGCGUUGUCCGGAAUUACUGGGUGUAAAGGGAGCGUAGGCGGGGAUGCAAGUUGGGUGUCAAAACUACCGGCACAACCGAUAGUCGCACUCAAAACUGAAACUCUUGAGUGAAGUAGAGGCAGGCGGAAUUCCUAGUGUAGCGGUGAAAUGCGUAGAUAUUAGGAGGAACACCAGUGGCGAAGGCGGCCUGCUGGGCUUUUACUGACGCUGAGGCUCGAAAGUGUGGGAGCAAACAGGAUUAGAUACCCUUGUAGUC